GGUCCAAUCCUUAAAGUCAUCCUCAGUUCGGACUGGGGUCUGCAACCGACCCCACGAAGCUGGAUUCGCUAGUAAUCGCGCAUCAGCCAUGGCGCGGUGAAUACGUUCCCGGGCCUUGUACACACCGCCCGUCAAGCCAUGAAAGCCGGGGGCGCCUGAAGUCCGUGACCGCGAGGGUCGGCCUAGGGUGAAACCGGUGAUUGGGGCUAAGUCGUAACAAGGUACC
rnacentral:rRNA from 1 species